CCUACCUUUUCCAGCUCCCAGAUGUCCUAUUCCACCCUGGGAUUACCUCUGCUCCCUUCUUUCUUUGCUUCUUCCACCUCAUUCCAAGUAUUUCAGGAGUUGGAAACCACAGUGGAUCUGGGGAUGAAGUCUUGCUGUAGCCUAGUGAGAAUAAAAGAGCAGUCACUUUCUCUGAAGUCUAGCCUCCGCCCACUUAACAUGACUCUCUUCUUUCUUUGAAGGUUUGAGGGCCUGUGUCUGCUGUCCCUGCUGGUAGGGGAGAGCCCCACAGAGCUAUUCCAGCAGCACUGUGUGUCUUGGCUUCGGAGCAUUCAGCAGGUGUUACAGACCCAGGACCCGCCUGCCACAAUGGAGCUGGCCGUGGCUGUCCUGAGGGACCUCCUCCGAUAUGCAGCCCAGCUGCCUGCACUGUUCCGGGACAUCUCCAUGAACCACCUCCCUGGCCUUCUCACCUCCCUGCUGGGCCUCAGGCCAGAGGUGAGAUGUCUCCCUGGACCCUUCCCCAUGGCCCCCCGCAGUCCUCACCUUCACACACUGUUUAAUUGUUUGAUGGAA
rnacentral:ncRNA from 2 species